UAAUGUAUGGGGAUCUGCCCGAUAGAGGGGGGUAACUACUGGAAACGGUGGCUAAUACCGCAUAAUGUCUCGGACCAAAGCAGGGGCUCUUCGGACCUUGCACUAUCGGAUGAACCCAUAUGGGAUUAGCUAGUAGGUGGGGUAAAGGCUCACCUAGGCGACGAUCUCUAGCUGGUCUGAGAGGAUGAUCAGCCACACUGGGACUGAGACACGGCCCAG
rnacentral:rRNA from 1 species